rnacentral:misc_RNA from 1 species
CACCAAUCAAGCCUCGCUUGGUCUUGGGCGUCCGCGGCUCCGUCGCGCGCCCCAAUGUCUCCGGCUGAGCCGUCCGUCUCUAAGCGUUGUGAUUUAUCAAGCCGCUUGCGAGGCCGGGCCGGCUUGUUCGCCGUAAAACCCCCCAUUUUUACA